UUUUCUACUAUAUAUUUUUGUGGUAAAUUCUCUUCAAAUAAAAUAAAUACUUUUUAAGUACUUCUUCUACUAUUUUUUUCAUAUUUUUUUGAUCUAUACCACUACUUAGUGAAUAUACUGAAUCAAGUUUAUCUUCUUCAUUAAAACAAUAUUUCUAUUACUACUAUUAAUCUUACUAUAACUAGGAUUAAUAAUUUGUAAAUUUCUACUUUUUCUUAUCUUACCAGUUAUCCGUAAUUCCAUUCCAACUUCUAAUACUCUUAAUAUAUAUGGUGAAUUGAACCAAACUAGUUCUAUUAGCCCUUCUCCAUCAGUAAAUAGGACUUUAAUUAAUUUUUUUUUACCAAAAAAAGCAUUAUUAAUAAUUAGUACUUUUCCUUCGAUUAUAACAUUUUCUCCAUCUAUUAAUUCAGAUAUUGGUUUGUGUUUAGCCUUAUUUUCAUAAGUACGAGGAAAAAAAUACACUAAAUCAUAAAGACUAUGUAUUCCUAAUUUUUUUAAUGCUUUUAUUUUAGAUUUAUUUUUAUCAUUUUUUAAAGUUUUAAUAUCAAAUUCUUCAAGAGUAUCAUAUAUUCUUAAAUACAUAACUCAUCCUUUACAUAUUUUCUAAAAAUUCUCUUAAUUUCUUAAAAGCACGACCUCUAUGACUACAGUAUUUUUAAGUUCUGUUCCUGCUUCUGCAAAAUUCAUUUUUAAAUCUUUAGAAUAAAAAAUUGGAUCAUAUCCAUGACCUAAAUUUCCUUUUAAUUCAUGUGAUAUACUUCCUUCAGUUUCACCUCUAAAUAUAUACUUUUCUCCAUUAGGGAAAUAAAGUGUAAUAACAGAGAUAAACUUUGCAUCUCUAUUUGUAUUUUUUUUAUCUACUAAUUCAAUCAUUUUUUUACAUCUAUCAUUAUAGUUUUCAAAUUCAUUAAACCAUCUAGCUGUAUGCACUCCUGGUUUGCCGUCUAAGGCUCAAUACAUAAUCCUGAAUCAUCUGAGAUUGCUGGUAACCCUGAUAUUUCACUUACUGCUUUUGCUUUAAUUAAUGAAUUUUCUUCAAAAGUUAGACCAUCUUCUACUAUUUCUCCAACAUUAAAUUCUUUUUCAGAAAGUAUUUCUAUAUUUAAAUCCUUAAACAUAGAUCUAAAUUCUUCAAGUUUUCCUUCAUUUUUUGUAGCCAGUACUAUUUUCAUUCAUCCUCCCCAUAAUUUAAACAAUUUAAUAUAGAACUAUAUUCAAAACCUUUAUUUAUAAGUUUUCUGAAAAGUUUUUGUUUAUCUAACUUUUGAAUUUUUUAAAAUAAAUUUUUUAAUUAAUUCUUCUUGAUUUUCAUUCAGAUCUAAUUCUGAAAGUACUUCAUUUAUAAUAUCAAUUGAAAUUCCUUUUGAAAUCAGCUUAGAUUUUAACUUAUUAGUUGAAUAAUUAGGAUUAAUAUUCACAUAUCUGAAUACAAAUUCUUUAUCAUCUAAUAGGUUCAAUUUUUUCAAUUUUUCUAUUACAUCAUUAAUAAUAAAAUGAUUUUCUUUAUUUAUUUUGAUUUUAAUUUUUGGAUUAAUUCAAAUACAGUUCUAUCUUUUAAGGUUAUUAUAUAUAUUGACUUUGACAUCAUAGAUUCAUGAAUUAUAUCAUGAUAUAUCCCUGUUAUAUCCAUACCUUUUUUAAGUUUAAACAUAGCUUUAAUAUCUAAGUUUAUAUCUAUAAUUUCACCAUUAUUGACAUAUACCUUUUUUUUUAAAAUAUUUUCUAUUAUCUUCAUUUCUUAUUUUUUCUUAUUUCUCACAAAUUCAGGAUCUUUAAGUUUUGUCAUAACCUCUUCUUCAAUUUUAGAAAAUAAUUCUAUAUUAGUAGUUAAUAGAUUCUCAACAUUAACUUUACCCUUGACCUAAUUUUUCAGUUCCAUAACUAAACCAUGAACCACUUUUUUUACAUAUAUCAAAUUCUAAUGCCAAGUCAAACACUUCUGUAAUAUGAGAAAUUCCUUUUCCAUAUAAAAUAGCAAAUUUUGCUUCUUUAUGUGGAGGAGCAACCUUAUUUUUUGUAAUUUUAGCUAUAGUUUCAGUCCCUAUAACAUCAUCACCUUGUUUAAUAGAUAAAGCUUUUUUGAUUUCCAUUCUAACACUAGAAAAGAAUUUUAAUGCUCUUCCUCCAGAAGUAGUAGUCUGUACUCCAGGAGUAAAUGAAAAUCCACCAAUCUUUUCUCUAAUUUGAUUUAUAAAUAUCAUAACUGUAUCAGAUUUAGAAAUACUUGAUGUUAAUUUUCUUAAAGCCUUAGACAUUAAUCUUGCUUGAAGCCCCAUUUGUUGAUCAGACAUUUCUCCUUCAAUUUCAGCUUUGGUACAAGUGCUGCAACUGAAUCAACUACAACAACAUCUACUGCACCACUUCUUACUAAAGUAUCUGCAAUAUCUAACGCUUGUUCACCAGUAUCAGGUUGUGAAAUUAAAAGUUCAUCAACAUCUACACCUAAAGCUUUUGCAUAAACUGGAUCAAGUGCAUGUUCAGCAUCAAUAAAUGCAGCAGUCCACCAUUUUUUUGUGCUUCUGCUAUAUAUGAAGUGCUAUAGUUGUUUUCCCUGAAGAUUCAGCUCCAUAAAUCUCUAUUAUUCUUCCUCUAGGUACUCCACCUAUCCCCAAUGCUAAAUCAAUGUUAAUACUUCCUGUUGAAAUAACUUUAACAUCCAUUUUUUUGUUUUCACCAAGUUUCAUUAUAGAUCCUUCACCAUACUCUUUAGUAAUUUGAUCUAAUGCAACUUUUAACCCUUUUAAUUUAUCAUCAUUCAUUGUAGCGUUUUCUUUUUUAGCCAUGAGUUCCUCCCCUAUUUUAAUAAAUUAUUAAUUAAUUAUAUCAUUUUUGUUUUUUAAUGUCAAUAUCCUUGUUGCAUUUUUAUUACAGUAAGAAUAAAAAAAAGUUUGGCAACUACCUAUUUUCCCUAUUACUAAGUAUCUUCAGCGUACACAGACUUAACUACUAGGUUCGAAAAGUAACUAGGUGUAUCCCUGUGGCUAACAUCACCAAACAAAAAGCAAGAAAUAUAAGACAAUCAAAAAUGAAUAGUAAAGUAAAGAAUAAAAAUACAAAGCCUACGUAUUAUUAGUAUUGGUCAGCUAAAUGUAUUACUACACUUACACCCCCAACCUAUCAACCACUUAGUCUCAGUGGAUACUUAAAAAGAAUACUUAUCUCAAAGUGGGUUUCUCACUUAGAUGCUUUCAGCGAUUAUCCCUUCCAAACGUAACUACUCAGCCAUGCUACUGGCGUAACAACUGAUACAUCAGAGGUUUGUCCAUCCUGGUCCUCUCGUACUAGGGACAGAUCUUUUCAAUAUUCUAACGCCUGUAGUGGAUAGGGACCGAACUGUCUCACGACGUUCUGAACCCAGCUCGCGUGCCUCUUUAAUGGGCGAACAGCCCAACCCUUGGGACCUUCUCCAGCCCCAGGAUGAGACGAGCCGACAUCGAGGUGCCAAACACUUCCGUCGAUAUGGACUCUUGGGAAGUAUCAGCCUGUUAUCCCCGGGGUAGCUUUUAUCCGUUAAGCGACGGCCUUUCCAUACAGCACCGCCGGAUCACUAAGUCCUGCUUUCGCACCUGCUCGAUCUGUCAAUCUCGCAGUCAAGCUCCCUUAUACCUUUACACUCUCUGGUUGAUUUCCAUCCAACCUGAGGGAACCUUUGAACGCCUCCGUUACUCUUUAGGAGGCGACCGCCCCAGUCAAACUGCCCAUCUAGCACUGUCUCAAUUUCUUGAUUAGAAUUUCAAUAAUAUAUGGUUGGUAUUCCACAGUUGACUCCUUUAAAACUAGCGUCUUAAUAUCUCAGUCUCCCAACUAUUCUAUACACACAUUACCAAAACCCAAUGCCAAACUACAGUAAAGCUCCACGGGGUCUUUCCGUCCUACUACAGGUAGUCGGUAUCUUCACCGACAUUACAACUUCACCAGGUCUCCAGCCAAGACAGCUCCCAAAUCAUUUCACCAUUCGUGCAGGUCGGAACUUACCCGACAAGGAAUUUCGCUACCUUAGGACCGUUAUAGUUACGGCCGCCGUUCACUGGGGCUUCAAUUUGAAUCUCUCAAUCCUCCUCUUAACCUUCCAGCACUGGGCAGGUGUCAGCCCAUAUACGUCGCCUUUCAGCUUAGCAUAGACCUGUGUUUUUGUACAGUUGCUUGGGACUCUUCACUGCGACUACUUGGGCUCAUGAUGUCUCACUUACCUACCAUAGUACCCCUUCCCCUAAGUUACGGGGCUAUUUUCAGAGUUCCUUAGCUAGAGUUAACUCUAGCUAAGGAACUCUGCAAAAUAGCCCCGUAACUUAGGAGAAGGGUACCUAUGGUAGGUAAGUGAGAGCAUCAUGAGCCCAAGUAGGUCGCAGUGAAGAGUCCCAAGCAACUGUUUAUCAAAAACACAGGUCUAUGCUAAGCUGAAAGGCGACGUAUAUGGGCUGACACCUGCCCAGUGCUGGAAGGUUAAGAGGAGGAUUGAGAGAUUCAAAUUGAAGCCCCAGUGAACGGCGGCCGUAACUAUAACGGUCCUAAGGUAGCGAAAUUCCUUGUCGGGUAAGUUCCGACCUGCACGAAUGGUGAAAUGAUUUGGGAGCUGUCUUGGCUGGAGACCUGGUGAAGUUGUAAUGUCGGUGAAGAUACCGACUACCUGUAGUAGGACGGAAAGACCCCGUGGAGCUUUACUGUAGUUUGGCAUUGGGUUUUGGUAAUGUGUGUAUAGAAUAGUUGGGAGACUGAGAUAUUAAGACGCUAGUUUUAAAGGAGUCAACUGUGGAAUACCAACCAUAUAUUAUUGAAAUUCUAAUCAAGAAAUUGAGACAGUGCUAGAUGGGCAGUUUGACUGGGGCGGUCGCCUCCUAAAGAGUAACGGAGGCGUUCAAAGGUUCCCUCAGGUUGGAUGGAAAUCAACCAGAGAGUGUAAAGGUAUAAGGGAGCUUGACUGCGAGAUUGACAGAUCGAGCAGGUGCGAAAGCAGGACUUAGUGAUCCGGCGGUGCUGUAUGGAAAGGCCGUCGCUUAACGGAUAAAAGCUACCCCGGGGAUAACAGGCUGAUACUUCCCAAGAGUCCAUAUCGACGGAAGUGUUUGGCACCUCGAUGUCGGCUCGUCUCAUCCUGGGGCUGGAGAAGGUCCCAAGGGUUGGGCUGUUCGCCCAUUAAAGAGGCACGCGAGCUGGGUUCAGAACGUCGUGAGACAGUUCGGUCCCUAUCCACUACAGGCGUUAGAAUAUUGAAAAGAUCUGUCCCUAGUACGAGAGGACCAGGAUGGACAAACCUCUGAUGUAUCAGUUGUUACGCCAGUAGCAUGGCUGAGUAGUUACGUUUGGAAGGGAUAAUCGCUGAAAGCAUCUAAGUGAGAAACCCACUUUGAGAUAAGUAUUCUUUUUAAGUAUCCACUGAGACUAAGUGGUUGAUAGGUUGGGGGUGUAAGUGUAGUAAUACAUUUAGCUGACCAAUACUAAUAAUACGUAGGCUUUGUAUU
rnacentral:rRNA from 1 species